UGCAAGUCGAACGGCAGCAUAGGUGCUUGCACCUGAUGGCGAGUGGCGAACGGGUGAGUAAUGCAUCGGAACGUGCCCAGUCGUGGGGGAUAACGCAGCGAAAGCUGUGCUAAUACCGCAUACGAUCUAUGGAUGAAAGCGGGGGACCUUCGGGCCUCGCGCGAUUGGAGCGGCCGAUGUUAGAUUAGGUAGUUGGUGGGGUAAAGGCUCACCAAGCCAACGAUCUAUAGCUGGUCUGAGAGGACGACCAGCCACACUGGAACUGAGACACGGUCCAGACUCCUACGGGAGGCAGCAGUGGGGAAUUUUGGACAAUGGGCGAAAGCCUGAUCCAGCAAUACCGCGUGUGCGAAGAAGGCCUUCGGGUUGUAAAGCACUUUUGUCAGGAAAGAAAUUGUUUGGGCUAAUACCCCGAGCCGUUGACGGUACCUGAAGAAUAAGCACCGGCUAACUACGUGCCAGCAGCCGCGGUAAUACGUAGGGUGCGAGCGUUAAUCGGAAUUACUGGGCGUAAAGCGUGCGCAGGCGGUUUGUUAAGACAGUUGUGAAAUCCCCGGGCUCAACCUGGGAACUGCAAUUGUGACUGGCAGGCUAGAGUUUGGCAGAGGGGGGGUGGAAUUCCUGGUGUAGCAGUGAAAUGCGUAGAUAUCAGGAGGAACACCGAUGGCGAAGGCAGCCCCCUGGGCCAUGACUGACGCUCAUGCACGAAAGCGUGGGGAGCAAACAGGAUUAGAUACCCUGGUAGAAGGGC
rnacentral:rRNA from 1 species